rnacentral:piRNA from 1 species
UUGUAAUAUGAAAAAUAAAAU